AAGUCGUAACAAGGUUUCCGUAGGUGAACCUGCGGAAGGAUCAUUGGGGGAGAUUUGAGAGAGCGUUGGAAUGAAUGAGUACUGAUUACAUUACACUAUCUACCAUACACAACAACUGCUGACAAUGGAUCUCUGGGCUCUU
rnacentral:misc_RNA from 1 species